rnacentral:tRNA from 1 species
UCUCUCGUGGCGUAGGGGUAACGCGCCCUAUCUACUGAAUAGGGAGUCGUGAGUUCGAUUCUCACCGAGAAGA